GGUUGUUGGUGCUUCUGUAGUUGUAGUUGGAGCUGCUGUAGUUGUAGUUGGAGCCAAUGUAGUUGUGGUCGGUGCCGCUGUUGUUGUGGUUGGCUCUGUUGUGGUUGUGGAUGGAGUAGCUGUAGUUGUUUUUGGAGCAUCCGUGGUUGUGGUUGGAGCUGUUAUGGUUGUGGUUGGAGCAGCUGUAGUUGCUGGAGCUGCUGUAGUUGUGGUUUCAGCUGCUUUGGUUGUGGUUAUUGCAGCUGUGGUUGUGGUUAGUCCAGCUGUUGUGGAUGUAGCAGCUGUAGUUUUUGCAUCAGCUGUACUUGAUGG